rnacentral:rRNA from 1 species
UACGGGGGGGGCAAGCGUUGUUCGGAAUUACUGGGCGUAAAGGGUUCGUAGGUGGCUUGUUAAGUCAGACGUGAAAUCCCUCGGCUCAACCGGGGAACUGCGUCUGAGACUGAUGAGCUCGAGUGCAGGAGAGGAACGCGGAAUUCCAGGUGUAGCGGUGAAAUGCGUAGAUAUCAUUUGGAACGCCAAAGGCGAAAGCAGGCUGCUGGGAGUGAUCUGACACUGAGACGCGAAAGCCAGGGGAGCAAACGGG